AUUCAGCUGACGAGUUCCAAAUAGGACGAAACGUGCGUCCUGAAU
rnacentral:hammerhead_ribozyme from 1 species